rnacentral:lncRNA from 13 species
UUUUCAAUUAAGGAAAAAAGCCUCAUAGAAUAAACGAUUCAGUGAAUGAGUCAGUAGCAGGGAGGCUUUCACUUCUCUCUGGUGCCUCAAUCCCUUACUGAGCACCUACUAUGUGCCAGAAGCUGUGCUGGGCAUGCAGAGCUGGGACGCCGUGGCCUGUAUAUUCUGCUGGUUGUGGGAUGCGGCCCUUGCCUGGGCUCCAGAGAAAGGACAGGCUCUGUUUGGUUGGAGGUGAAUCUAGAAGACCUUCUGCAGGAGGUGGAAUUUGAGAUGCAAUUUGAAGAAAGGGACAGGUUUUUGAGGAAGACGUCAGCAUGUGCAAAGGUCCAGAGGGCUGCCUCCCGACAUGGGCCAGUCUGGCUGGAAACUGUCAGAGUGAAUAAGAGAAGGAUCCAUGUGAGUGCGUGGUCAAAAUAGAAGUCGCCGUGGAAAGGCGAGAGAUGAGUCUGCCAGGGAGAGCCUGUCUGGAUGUCGUCAGCUGUGAUGAGCCUACAGGUUGUCACGGACUUGGCGGCUCUCCGAUGCCUGCUGAGCAGUCUUCUGUGUAUAUGAAUCCAGAGGCUGUGGGGAAUCAGUGUUAAUGGCGCUGGGAUCCGGGUUCGGCGGGAAGGUUCUUCAGAAGGAUCCAAACUCCGUCACAAUCAUUGCAGAUGGAGUUGGACUCCAGCCAGCAGAGAGGAGGAGUCGCAGGACAUGUGUGGGGACCAGAACAAGCUGAUCAAGCCUUAGGGAGUUAAAAUUCUUUCAUCCUCCACACUCACCUCAGAAAGGUGGUGUGGUACAUUGUGACCAAGCAGGUGAAAAUUUGAUUCAUUAUCAUCGUAAAUGCCUUCAAGAGUUGGUAGACCUAAGAGCACAAAAGAAGACAAUAUGGUCAGAGUUGAAACCUACAAAUGCAGGCAUAUGGUCAACCCUGUGUAAGCGUAGACAAGAAUUAAGGAGUGUGUGGAUUACCAGAAUCCAGGGACUGGGCUGGGGAGCUGGGGAGACAAACUCUCUUUUUCUAAGCCCGUGACACAGAGCUUAGGGAGGCCCCCUAGGUUAACACAUCUGGGAGAAAUUCCCUAUCCUAAGCAACCUCAACUGAGAGGCUCAUAACAGCCCCCUUGGGGACUAAGCAACGCCAGUCAACUGGGGUAAUGGGUUUUCUUUGUGGGUGUACAUUUUUUCACUCCAGGAGGAUUUGGGGUUAUGUUAAGACAGGCUUAUGGGAAUUAAAACCAUAGUAUUUUGUUUUUUCUGUUUUAUGCUUACUUGUAAUGCUAAGAUAAUUUUGCCUAUUAAAGUGAGAAUCUAAUCAUCCUAAUUUAAAAUGUAAUUGAG